rnacentral:rRNA from 1 species
AGUGAACGCUGGCGGUAGGCCUAACACAUGCAAGUCGAACGGCAGCACAGUAAGAGCUUGCUCUUACGGGUGGCGAGUGGCGGACGGGUGAGGAAUACAUCGGAAUCUACUUUUUCGUGGGGGAUAACGUAGGGAAACUUACGCUAAUACCGCAUACGACCUACGGGUGAAAGCAGGGGAUCUUCGGACCUUGCGCGAUUGAAUGAGCCGAUGUCGGAUUAGCUAGUUGGCGGGGUAAAGGCCCACCAAGGCGACGAUCCGUAGCUGGUCUGAGAGGAUGAUCACCCACACUGGAACUGAAACACGGCCCAGACCCCUAGGGGAGGCAGCAGGGGGGAAUAUUGGAAAAGGGGCGAAAGCCUGAUCCAGCCAUACCGGGUGGGUGAAGAAGGCCUUCGGUUUGUAAAGCCCUUUUGUUGGGAAAAAAAAGCAGCAGGUUAAUCCCCCGCUGUUCUGGCGGUACCAAAAAAAUAAGCACCGGCUAACUUCGU